UGCACCAGCUUUGACUACGAUUGAUGCAUACUUAGGCUUGGUAGUGCCGGGUGAUAAUGAUAUCUUCAGCUCGAGCUAUAGAAGAACAGGCGAUAGUGAUGAGGGUAUAUAUUUAGAUUUUCUAGAUGAUAACUUUGUAUAUGCUUGGAGAAAGCUGAGUGGGCAACUACUUCGGUUAUUGGCACUUACGUAUAGGAAAUUGAUGCUAAGCCACAACAACAUAUUACAAUAGUAGAAAUUUAUAGCAGGAAUAAAAUUACCUUUAGUAAGUUUAAAUGAGCCUCCAUAAGCGGUGGCUUUCUUUUACAGUACUUCUUCAAGCCAAUCUGCUUGUAUAGCCUCAAGUAUUUUUUCAUUGCAACGCUUUUCAUCAUCAUCAAAAUCUUCCAAACCCAAAACCUUUUUUUUAAGCUCAGUGAAUCUAAUAUUCACUAUAUCCUCAUCGGGAAAUUUUUCCUCUAGUGCCUCCACUAUGUCCUCUAUAUCAAGCCACUUCAUAACAUAAAAAUAUACUAAAAAACUUGUUCUAAACUGUAUCAAUUCUUCUGUCAACUAAUUCUUGUCAUCCCUUG